rnacentral:rRNA from 1 species
CCUACGGGUGACAGCAGUGAGGAAUAUUGGUCAAUGGGCGCUAGCCUGAACCAGCCAAGUAGCGUGAAGGAUGACUGCCCUAUGGUUUGUAAGCUUCUUUUAUAUGGAGAUAAGGUGCAGUGUGUAUACUUCUUUGCAUGUACCUUAUGAAUAAGGAUCGGCUCACUCCGUGCCAGCCGCCGCGGUAAUCCGGAGGGUCCGAUCGUUAUCCGGAUUUAAUUGGUUUAACGGGAGCGUAGGCGGGUUGUUAAGUCAGUUGUGAAAGUUUGCGGCGCAACCGUAGAAUUGCAGUUGAUACUGGCAUCCUUGAGUACAGUAGAGGUAGGCAGAAUUCGUGGUGUAGCGGUGAAAUGCUUAGAUAUCACGAAGAACUCCGAUUGCGAAGGCAGCCUGCUGGACUGUAACUGACGCUGAUGCUCGAAAGUGUGGGUAUCAAACAGGAUUAGAUACCCUUGUAGUC